rnacentral:lncRNA from 1 species
ACAUGGGACCCUCCUUCUCUUUUUAGGUCUUCGCCCCUUUCCUUCACCUUCUGUGGUAGCACGUGUUCCCUCCUCCUCCAUCAGCACACCACCUGCUCCAAUACCAUUUUGCCACCUUCCCCCCACAACUGUCUCUCCCUGUCCUGGAAGCGAACCAUUACCUGCUGCCUCCUGGGAAAGUUUCCCAUCCCAGGACUGCUGCUGCUCACAGUGCCUAACAGCUGAUCUCAGCUUGGGGGACAGAGGAACCUGGGGACAUGGAGAAUGAUUGCUUGCCUUUACCCCCUUGGUGCAGCUUCUCCUGGGUCUUUGCCCUCACCAUGUCAAGGAAUGUUAAUGAUGUGUUCCUUCUCCAUUGCCUUCCCCACCUGUCAUCU